rnacentral:misc_RNA from 1 species
UGGUUCUGGCAUCGAUGAAGAACGCAGCGAAAUGCGAUAAGUAAUGUGAAUUGCAGAAUUCAGUGAAUCAUCGAAUCUUUGAACGCACAUUGCGCCCUCUGGUAUUCCGGGGGGCAUGCCUGUUCGAGCGUCAUUACAACCCUCAAGCUCAGCUUGGUAUUGGGCAUCACCGUCUGGGUGGGCCUCAAACUCAGUGGCGGUGCCGUCUGGCUUCAAGCGUAGUACUUUACGUCGCUCAGGAGUUAGGUGGCGUCUUGCCAUAAACCCAACAAUUUUCAAAGGUUGACCUCGGAUCAGGUAGGGAUACCCGCUGA